CGGUGAGGUAGAGGUUGCAGUCAUUAAGAGUAUCAUUUUAGGAGAUGGAGUGGCAUCGAUGAAUAAAUGAGAAAGGAAUGAUUGCCGAAGUAAGAUGUGUCCACUAUGCACACUUGCUGGGUCUGCUAUUUAAUAAAUGCAGAACUGUCACAAACAACUGUUUGUGGAGAGCUAUCGAGAGG
rnacentral:ncRNA from 2 species